UGCGUAGGCGGUAGUGUGUGUCGGAUGUGAAAUCUUACUGUUCAUCGGUAAAACUGCAUUCGAAACUACAAUACUAGAGUAUAGGAGAGGAGAGCGGAAUUCUUGGUGUAGCGGUGAAAUGCGUUGAUAUCAAGAGGAACACCGGUGGCGAAGGCGGCUCUCUGGACUAUUACUGACGCUGAGGCACGAAAGCUAGGGGAGCAAACA
rnacentral:rRNA from 1 species